UAAGGCUUCUUUCAGCAGUGACUUAGUGUGGCCUGGAACCUGAAGUAGGUCCUUUCCCGGGAGAGGAGACAUGCGGCCCCGUGACGUUGCUGCCUGGCUCCCUCAUGGUCGCGUUCAGCUUGCUCUGCAGUCUAAUUCUGUACAGAAGGCAGGGGUGGUGGCACCGAAGAUGAAAGAAGCUGUGAUCCCUAGAGCUCACCUUGCAAGGAAAUGAGAGCAGAAGCUAGAUCUACAGUUGGACACCCUCCGGACUUUUGUCUCUGAUGAAUAUAACAAGAAAACUAGCCAGGUUGCGGUGGUGAGCACUUUUAAUCCCAGCACUUGGGAGGCAGAGGCAGAGGCAGAG